CCGCCCAUGCCGGCGAGGCGCCCACCGCAGAGAUCGAAAUUUACCGCCCCGGCGGCGAACUGGACGCAUUUGCCGCGGCUGACACCGACGUCGCAACCCGGAUGGCCGGGGGACGUGCCGCCGAGGUCGAGCCUGCGGGCUUCGUGGACACCAAGUUCGGCCGGGUCACCCUGCUCCGUUUCAGCGGGGCUGCCCUGCCCGCCAGGCAGGACUGCCUGGGCUUUGUGAGGACUUUCUCAAACCCAAGCGUCAGAAUGAGCGGAUGGUCCUGUCAGGCCGAUUCGCUGGCCGCGCAGCGGGCCUU
rnacentral:misc_RNA from 1 species